rnacentral:tRNA from 1 species
GGACGGUUAGCUCAGCUGGGAGAGCAUCUGCCUUACAAGCAGAGGGUCGGCGGUUCGAUCCCGUCACCGUCCACCA